GAUGAACGCUGGCGGCGUGCCUAAUACAUGCAAGUCGAGCGAACAGACGAGGAGCUUGCUCCUCUGACGUUAGCGGCGGACGGGUGAGUAACACGUGGAUAACCUACCUAUAAGACUGGGAUAACUUCGGGAAACCGGAGCUAAUACCGGAUAAUAUAUUGAACCGCAUGGUUCAAUAGUGAAAGACGGUUUUGCUGUCACUUAUAGAUGGAUCCGCGCCGCAUUAGCUAGUUGGUAAGGUAACGGCUUACCAAGGCAACGAUGCGUAGCCGACCUGAGAGGGUGAUCGGCCACACUGGAACUGAGACACGGUCCAGACUCCUAAGGGAGGCAGCAGUAGGGAAUCUUCCGCAAAGGGCGAAAGCUUGACGGAGCAACGCCGCGUGAGUGAUGAAGGUCUUCGGAUCGUAAAACUCUGUUAUUAGGGAAGAACAAAUGUGUAAGUAACUAUGCACGUCUUGACGGUACCUAAUCAGAAAGCCACGGCUAACUACGUG
rnacentral:rRNA from 1 species